UCCCUGGUGGAGAGCGGCGGUGGCCUCGUGUCCCCUGGAGGGUCCAUGGACCUCAUCUGCAAAGGCUCCGGCUUCACCUUCAGCAGCUUCGGGAUGGAGUGGGUCCGUCAGGAGCCCCAGAAGGGCCUCCAGUGGGUCGCGGGGAUUUGGGACAAUGGUGGUACCACCUACUACGCGCCGUCGGUCAAGGGGCGCUUCACCAUCUCCAGGGACAACGGCCAGAGCACGGUGACGCUGCGGAUGACCAACCUGAAGGUCGAGGACACGGCCACCUACUACUGCGCCAAACGUGCUGAUGGUGGUGGUGGUUAUGGUGGUGGUGGUGAUGUUGUCCCACCAGGACCCAUCUGGGGCCCUCAGGACCUCCUGGAGAACCUCCUGCGACCCCUCAAGGACCCCCAGGAGACCUCUGGAGCCCUUCAGGACCCCUUUAGAGACCCCUCAGGACCCCUCGAGGUCUUCCAGAACCCCCUGAGAGCCCCCAGAGACCCCUUGAAGGCCUUCCAGGACCCCUCUGGGACCACCAGGACCCAUCUGGAGCCCCCCGAGACCCCUUUAGGACCCUCAGGUCUCCUCUAG